GGCCAAGCUGUUCGGGCGCAUGAUGAAUGCCUUGGCGACGGCAGGCGAUGAAGGACGCGGCAAGCCGCGAUAGUCCACGCAGAGGCGCAGGCAGCCUGUGAAGCGUGGGUUUCCGAAUGGAGCAAUCCGGUAUCCGUCAUGGGAUAUCAUCUGUACAUGAAUACAUAGUGUGCAGAGGCGACACCCGGGGAAGUGAAACAUCUCAGUACCCGGAGGAAAAGAAAUCAAAUGAGAUUCCGCAAGUAGUGGCGAGCGAACGCGGACGAGCCCAAACCACGGAGCGUGCUCUGUGGGGUUGCGGGACCCGGUCAUGAUGACCAGCCGAUUAGCACAAGCCUUUGGAAAGAGGCGCCGCAGAGGGUGACAGCCCCGUGUGCGAAAAUCCGCUGGAAGUCUACGGGUAUCCCAAGUAGGACGGGACACGUGAAACCCUGUCUGAAUCUGGGGGGCCCACCCUCCAAGGCUCAAUACUAGCCGUCGACCGAUAGUGAACCAGUACCGUGAGGGAAAGGUGAAAAGAACCCCGUCUAGGGGAGUGAAAUAGACCCUGCAAUCAUGCGCCUCCAAACUGUGGGAGCCCUUUCGGGGGUGACCGCAUGCCUUUUGCAUAAUGAGCCUGCGAGUUGUCGCGUCACGGCGAGGUUAAGCCGUUGGCGGAGCCGAAGCGAAAGCGAGUAUGAACAGUGCGUUCAGUCGUGCGCGGCAGACCCGAAGCUAGGUGAUCUAUCCAUGGCCAGGCUGAACCUCCGGUAACACGGAGUGGAGGGCCGAACUAGUUGGUGUUGAAAAACCUUUGGAUGAGCUGUGGAUAGGGGUGAAAGGCCAAUCAAACCUAGUGAUAGCUGGUUCUCUCCGAAAUAGCUUUAGGGCUAGCCCCGUUCCAUUACCAUGCGGGGGUAGAGCGACCGAAUGGCAGAUGACCCCUACCGGGGUACUGACGCCAAUCGAACUCCGAAUACCGCAUGGCGUACAACGGGAGUCAGACUGCGGGGGCUAAGCUCCGUAGUCGAAAGGGAAACAGCCCAGACCGCCGACUAAGGCCCCUAAUCGCGCGCUGAGUGGAUUGAAGGAUGUGGGGUCGCACAGACAGCCAGGAUGUUGGCUUAGAGGCAGCCAUCAUUUGAAGACCGCGUAAUAGCCCACUGGCCGAGUGACCUUGCGCCGAAAAUGAUCGGGACUGAAGUGCGCAGCCGACGUCGCGGAGACGUUUCUUGUAAACGAUCUGGUAGGAGAGCGCCGUAUGGGGAGUGAAGGGUGUCCGUAAGGAAGCCUGGACCGCAUACGGGAGACCAUGCAGGCAUGAGUAACGACAAGGCGGGUGUGAAUCCCGCCCACCGUAAAUCCAAGGUUUCCUGGGCCAGGUUCGUCCUCCCAGGGUCAGUCGGUUCCUAAGGCGAGGCCGAAAGGCGUAGCCGAUGGGUGUCAGGCGAAUAUUCCUGAACCCGCGUGCCCGGUCAAUGGGGUGACGCGGAAGGCAGAGCGGGCUUCCGAUUGGAAGUGGAAGUCCAAGCGAGCAGGGUCGCGGUUGUUAAAUGCACCGCAUAGACCUGAGACGUGAUGGGGAGCCAGCCAGCAAUGGCCGGCGAAGCCGCUUGCGCCAUGCCGCCAAGAAAAGCCUCUAGACGUUAACGGCACGCGGACCGUACCGCAAACCGACACAGGUGGAUGGGUCGAAUAGACCAAGGUGCGCGAGAGAAACCACGUUAAGGAACUCGGCAAAAUAGUCCCGUAACUUCGGGAAAAGGGACGCUCCCGACGGUGAGGAAAGCAAUUUGCUUGCUGUUGGGAGCCGCAGUGAAAAGGCCCAGGCGACUGUUUAGCAAAAACACAGCACUCUGCUAACUCGCAAGAGGAUGUAUAGGGUGUGACACGUGACCAAUGCCGAAAGGUCAAACGGAUGGGUCAGCCGCAAGGCGAAGCUCUGAAGUGAAGCCCCGGUGAAUGUCGGCCGUAACUAUAACGGUCCUAAGGUAGCGAAAUUCCUUGUCGGGCAAGUUCCGACCUGCACGAAUCGUGUAACGAUCUGGGCGCUGUCUCAACGUGGAUCUCGGUGAAGUUGUAGUUCCGGUGAAAAUGCCGGAUACCUGCGGAAGGACGGAAAGACCCCAUGAACCUUCACUGUUGCCUGACAUUGGCAAUCGGUCACUCAUGUGCAGCAUAGGUGGGAGGCUGUGAGACGGCGGCGUCAGCCGCCGUGGAGCCAUCGGUGAGAUACCACCCUUGUGUGUCUGGUUGUCUAACCACGAACCCGUGAAUCCGGGCGUGGGACCGUGUCAGGCGGUCAGUUUGACUGGGGCGGUUUCCUCCCAAAAUGUAACGGAGGAGCUCGAAGGCCGGCUCAGCGCGGUUGGCAACCGUGCGUUGAGUGUAAGGGCAUAAGCCGGCUUGACUGCGAGACCGACGGGUCGAGCAGCUGCGAAAGCAGGACCUAGUGAUCCAGCGGUGGAAUGUGGCAUCGCCGUUGCUCAUCGGACAAAAGGUACUCUGGGGAUAACAGGCUGAUCGCGCCCAAGCGUCCACAGCGACGGCGCGGUUUGGCACCUCGAUGUCGGCUCAUCACAUCCUGGGGCUGAAGCAGGUCCCAAGGGUUCGGCUGUUCGCCGAUUAAAGUGUUACGCGAGCUGGGUUCAGAACGUCGUGAGACAGUUCGGUCCUUAUCCUCCGCAGGCGUAGGAUGAUUGACGGGAGCGCUCCUUAGUACGAGAGGACCGGGAGCGGGUGGCCUCUGGUGUUCCGGUUGUCCGGCCAACGGGCAUUGCCGGGUAGCCACGCCACGAAGGGAUAAGCGCUGAAAGCAUCUAAGCGCCAAGCCCCCCCGAAGACGAGUCAUCCCAGUGCGCAAGCACUCUCAAGGCCCCCGGAAGACGACCGGGUUGACAGGCUGGAGGCGCAAGACCCGCGAGGGUUUUACCUGACCAGUUCUGAUAGGCCGUGAGGCUUGGCCGC
rnacentral:rRNA from 1 species